rnacentral:rRNA from 1 species
UACGAAGGGGGCGAGCGUUGUUCGGAAUCACUGGGCGUAAAGCGUGCGUAGGCUGUUUCGCAAGUUGGAAGUGAAAGCCCAGGGCUCAACCCUGGAACUGCUUUCAAAACUGCGAGACUCGAAUUCGGGAGAGGAUAGCGGAAUUCCCAGUGUAGUAGUGAAAUACGUAGAUAUUGGGAGGAACACCAGUGACGCAAGCGGCUAUCUGGACCGACAUUGACGCUGAGGCACGAAAGCGUGGGGAUCAAACAGG